rnacentral:rRNA from 1 species
GGCCGCGAAUUCGCCCUUCCGGUGAAUUAUUCGGACUGACGCAGUGCUCAGCUUCUGGACGUUGCGUCGGAAAGUUUCAUGAACCUUAUCACUUAGAGGAAGGAGAAGUCGUAACAAGGUUUCCGUAGGUGAACCUGCGGAAGGAUCAUUC